CUGGUCCUGUCCCGUCCCGAAUUCAGGAUAAUUCCCAUGGAUACUCUCCUCCUGGUCGCUAAAGGCCUGGAGUCGAUCCAAUUGCCCCAGCACAAGAAAUCCACUCCUUUAAUGUUUUCAUUACAUAACCCUGCAAUUACACCUGCCCCUGUUGGGUUCCCUGUUACCACACUACCGGGCCCUUUCAUGGCUCAGGUUCCAAGACCACAAGGUCGAACUUGUUUUCACUGUAAGCAACUAGGUCAUUUUAAGAAGGAUUGUCCAGGUUUUCCAGCACCUCGGCAGC